UGAUAGCCCGGAUAGUUUGAGACAUAGAAGACGAUCCUUUAGUUAGGUCCGACCGAGUGUCAGCGAGCGUCGGACGGCAUACAUUUGCUCGGUGAAUUUUUGCACUGAAAUAUAAAUGAUAUAUUUCAAAGCAAAAAUUAACCGGGCAAACGACGAGACCGCCCGUAUCUGAGCAGCAGGCAAUCACCCAGAAGGAGUAGCUUGAGGUGCUGGUGAAAAACUUCUUUCCGGCGAAAGAAGUGAAAAACUUCUUUUCGUACUCAUAAUGAAAGACGAGACGUACUCGAUGCUAGAAUUCAACGAAUGGCAGGGGACCGGGUACUUUACGUUCCUCAGAUGUGAAGGGAAUGUCCAAGCCGCUCUUCUUUCGAGUCAUAUGGUGAACGGGGAGAUAUAUAGUACGAAGUGCUUGCCGGAGUUGGGAGGGUGAUGUGGUCUUUAUGCCGAACCUGGGAUCAACCCAUUAUGCCAAAAGAUCACUGGAGGAUGGAUCGGGUGGAGAUAAACAUUGUCGCGAAGACCACCAACCUUCCCAACAUUCCCCAGCUGCGCCCGAUAGAAAACUUUUUGGCGAAUGGCCAAAAUAGAGAGACAGACGACCACCAAAGCCAUGAAAAGAAUAGCUACGUCCACGCAACAAUCAUCAGCGAUGGAGAUCGAUCCACGGUCGAAAUAAGAUCGAUUCAUCCUCACAACUGCUCUGCUCUGCAAGUCACAUCGGGCUGCUGUUCUAUAAAUAACUCAACAAUGAUCAAUCAACUGUCUCCGCUGUCCGGUGGUCCAACUGGAUAAUGGAAGAACAUAAAGAAUACCCUUAAGCCUAAAUGGCUACUGUGUGAAUGUACCAUAUGAAAUGGUAUAGAAGGAAUACUGGCGAAUGGCAACUGUGUAAUGUGCUAAUUAUAGAUAUGAUAACCAUGUGACAAGUACACGAUUAAAAUUCGGCUCUGUUACAGCUAAAAAUGCUAAUGAGCCUUAAAUAAAUAAAUGGGAUAAAAAAAAAUUCAAAAAUCGAUUCGUCGAGCUUGCAACAAUAGAUCAACCUGGAACCAGUGAAAGAAUACAAGAAUUCGCGAAAACUGAAUGAACAAUCCGAAAAAGUCACAAAUGGGCCCAAAACACCCAUAAAUUCACACAAGAUCUCCACCGACAAACAAAUCAUAAAAGUCAGUUUGCUUCUAAUUUCGGAUUUUGUUUUAGAAAACAUAGAAAUAAUUCUUUAGGACAACUAUAUCGAAAUUAUCAAAAGUAAAAAAAUGUUUGAAUGGGCCGAUGCUGCUAGAAGCCAUGAUGUGGGCUGACCUGGUACAUCUUUUAUUAUUUCCUACAUGAUCAUUGUUCAAAUUUUUACCCCCCAUAUAUUCCUGUUAUACGCAGUCCUAUGUCAAAAAUCAAAUCGGGGAUAAAACGCACAAAUGUACUCACUAACAAAGGUUCACGUCAAGUUUGAACACUUUUCUCAUAAAUGAAGGACAACAACUUGCUUGAUUGAAAUUGUCAGUUUGGAAUUUUCUUGAUGAGAAUGCGAAACAUAAGAAACAUAAAC